rnacentral:rRNA from 1 species
CCUACGGGUGGCUGCAGUAAGGAAUAUUGGACAAUGGUCGAAAGACUGAUCCAGCCAUGCCGCGUGAAGGAUGAAGGCCCUAUGGGUUGUAAACUUCUUUUGUACGGGAAACAACCCUCGCUCGUGAGCGAGGCUGAUUGUACUGUAAGAAUAAGGAUCGGCUAACUCCGUGCCAGCAGCCGCGGUAAUACGGAGGAUACAAGCGUUAUCCGGUGUCAUUGGGUUUAAGGGGUGCGUGUGAGUCAGUGUAGAAAUCUCUCUGCUUAACCGAGAAACUGCCAUUGAUACUGCAAAUCUUGAGUACAUUUGAUGUGGGCGGAAUGUGUCAUGUAGCGGUGAAAUGCUUAGAUAUGACACAGAACACCGAUUGCGAAGGCAGCUCACAAAACUGUAACUGACGCUGAGGCACGAAAGCGUGGGUAUCAAACAGGAUUAGAUACCCCAGUAGUC